rnacentral:rRNA from 1 species
UAGGGAAUUUUCGGCAAUGGGCGCAAGCCUGACCGAGCAACGCCGCGUGAGUGUUAAGGCCUUCGGGUUGUAAAGCUCUGUUGCCGGGGACGAACGGUACUUAUAGGAAAUGAUAAGUAAGUGACGGUACCCGGCGAGAAAGCCACGGCUAACUACGUGCCAGCAGCCGCGGUAAUACGUAGGUGGCGAGCGUUAUCCGGAUUUAUUGGGCGUAAAGGGUGCGUAGGCGGCGAAUUAAGUCUAAAUUGAAAGCGUGGGGCUCAACUCCAUGAUGGUUUAGAAACUGGUUUGCUGGAGUGCAGGAGAGGUUAGCGGAAUUCCAUGUGUAGCGGUAAAAUGCGUAGAUAUAUGGAGGAACACCAGUGGCGAAGGCGGCUAACUGGCCUGUAACUGACGCUGAGGCACGAAAGCGUGGGGAGCGAAUAGG